AACGUAGGAGGCAAGCGUUAUCCGGAGUGACUGGGCGUAAAGAGCGUGUAGGCGGUUGAGUAAGUUGCGUGUGAAAGCGCCCGGCUAAACUGGGCGAGGACAGGCGAGACUGCUGAGCUAGAGGCCGAUAGAGGGGUGCGGAAUUCCGGGUGUAGCGGUGAAAUGUGUAGAGAUUCGGAGGAACACCAGUGGCGAAGACGGCGCCCUGGACCGGUCCUGACGCUGAGGUGCGACAGCGAGGGGAGCAAACGGG
rnacentral:rRNA from 1 species